AUUGAACGCUGGCGGCAGGCCUAACACAUGCAAGUCGAGCGGUAGAGAGGUGCUUGCAUCUCUUGAGAGCGGCGGACGGGUGAGUAAUGCCUAGGAAUCUGCCUGGUAGUGGGGGACAACGUUUCGAAAGGAACGCUAAUACCGCAUACGUCCUACGGGAGAAAGCAGGGGACCUUCGGGCCUUGCGCUAUCAGAUGAGCCUAGGUCGGAUUAGCUAGUAGGUGAGGUAAUGGCUCACCUAGGCGACGAUCCGUAACUGGUCUGAGAGGAUGAUCAGUCACACUGGAGCUGAGACACGGUCCAGACUCCUACGGGAGGCAGCAGUGGGAAUAUUGGACAAUGGGCGAAAGCCUGAUCCAGCCAUGCCGCGUGUGUGAAGAAGGUCUUCGGAUUGUAAAGCUCUUUUACCCGAGAUGAUAAUGACAGUAUCGGGAGAAUAAGCUCCGGCUAACUCCGUGCCAGCAGCCGCGGUAA
rnacentral:rRNA from 1 species